rnacentral:rRNA from 1 species
AAGAGUUCGUAGGUGGUUGAAAAAGUUAGUGGUGAAAUCCCAGAGCUAAACUCUGGAACUGCCAUUAAAACUUUUCAGCUAGAGUAUGAUAGAGGAAAGCAGAAUUUCUAGUGUAGAGGUGAAAUUCGUAGAUAUUAGAAAGAAUACCAAUUGCGAAGGCAGCUUUCUGGAUCAUUACUGACACUGAGGAACGAAAGCAUGGGUAGCGAAGAGGAUUAGAUACCCUCGUAGUCCAUGCCGUAAACGAUGUGUGUUAGACGUUGGAAAUUUAUUUUCAGUGUCGCAGGGAAACCGAUAAACACACCGCCUGGGGAGUACGACCGCAAGGUUAAAACUCAAAUGAAUUGACGGGGACCCGCACAAGUAGUGGAGCAUGUGGUUUAAUUCGAAGAUACGCGCAGAACCUUACCAACACUUGACAUGUUCGUCGCGACUCUAAGAGAUUAGAGUUUUCGGUUCGGCCGGACGAAACACAGGUGCUGCAUGGCUGUCGUCAGCUCGUGUCGUGAGAUGUUGGGUUAAGUCCCGCAACGAGCGCAACCCUCACUUUUAGUUGCCAUCAUUAAGUUGGGCACUCUGAAAGAACUGCCAGUGAUAAGCUGGAGGAAGGUGGGGAUGACGUCAAGUCCUCAUGGCCCUUACGUGUUGGGCUACACACGUGCUACAAUGGUAUCUACAACAGGAAGCAAGACUGCGAAGUUAAGCAAAUCCCUAAAAGAUACCUCAGUUCGGAUU